GAUUUUUCUAAUUCUCCCCUAUUUAGGAAAUAGAGAAGAAUUUCCCUUUUGGUCUUCAAAUGAGGAUCAUUGAGGCCCACUGUGUGGAAGACCACAAGGAGCAGCCAGCAGAGCCAGUGAGACAGUUUACAGUUCAGGCAGCUACAACAGCUGUUACGAGAUAUGAUGGCUUGGAGCAAGGAAGGAGGUGGUGUCAUAUUCAAAAGCCUUACCCAAGAGUAGGAGCCCUCCUGAUGGGGUCCCUCCCCCCCCCCCCAACAAGCCAUGUUCCUUCCCUCCUAUAUCCCGUAGGCCACAAACCACAGCUAGGCACAUACACGUGUGUAAAGAGUAUUUGUUGACUCAGUGAAAGAAUUAGUGAAUGAUCCAAGCCUAGAGCAUCAUCAUCACCUAUUAUUAUUUUUUUUUUUUUAAGAUUUUUUUUUUUUAGGGAAAGAGAGCGUGAGCAGGGGGUGGGGCAGAGGGAGAAAAUCAGAUUCCCAGCUAAAGGCAGAGCCCCAGGCGGGGCUGGAUCCCACCACCCUGAGAUCCUGAGCUGAGUGCAAAUCAAGUCAGAGGCUUAAUCAACUGAGCCACCCGGGCGCCCCCACUAACGAUAGGCAUAUAGUCAGCAUUCAGUAAAUGUUUGCACAUAGAGUACAGCACAAUUCUGCAAGGCCAGGUGACUAGUCCUCUUUGCAAGGAGGAAGACUGGGGCUCGGACAGGAAUGUGUACCCCGGGGUCCCUCUGCACAGCCUAGACUAGAAGCUUCCUUCUAGCCAAGUCCUGGACACUGGGUGGAGAGUGCUUGCUCUCAGGGUGAGUCACGAUGACUUCACAGGAGUUUCGCUCAAAGGUUCUCCGCCCUGCGAUGAAGAGAAGCCGAAACUUCACGAGGCCAGGAGGUCAGGGGGCCCAAGGAGGUCAGGCGUCCUAAAAUCGCCGGGGCCGGGUCCUCCCACCUUCAGGCCACAGAGACGAAGGGCCAGAAGGGCCGCCCGCUCACGGCCGAGGCCCCGCCCCCCGCUCGCCGGCCCGCCCGCGCCUCCAGCGGAAGCCGGAAGCAAAAGCGGUCCCAGCUAGCCCCUGGCUCCGAACUCGGU
rnacentral:lncRNA from 1 species